UGAACGGGUGAGUAACACGUGGGCAACCUGCCCAAAAGAGGGGGAGUAACACUUGGAAACAGGUGCUAAUACCGCAUAACCAUAGUUACCGCAUGGUAGCUAUGUAAAAGGUGGCUAUGCUACCGCUUUUGGAUGGGCCCGCGGCGCAUUAGCUAGUUGGUGGGGUAAAGGCUUACCAAGGCAAUGAUGCGUAGCCGAACUGAGAGGUUGAUCGGCCACAUUGGGACUGAGACACGGCCCAAACUCCUACGGGAGGCAGCAG
rnacentral:rRNA from 1 species